AUUUUCUCAUCAUGUGCACCAAAUGUCUGUAAUGAACUCCAAAACACCUUAAAUCUAGAAUCUCUUCCAUCUUUCAAUACUUAAAAACCUUUUAUAGUCAACUCUAACUUAACAGUGUAAUUGAUUUUAACUAGUGUGUGUGUUUAUGUCUUCUUU